rnacentral:rRNA from 1 species
GUUCAUACCCGCGUGAGUGAUGAAGGCCUUAGGGUUGUAAAGCUCUUUCAGCNGGGGAAGAUAAUGACGGUACCCACAGAAGAAGCCCCGGCUAACUCCGUGCCAGCAGCCGCGGUAAUACGGAGGGGGCUAGCGUUGUUCGGAAUUACUGGGCGUAAAGCGCACGUAGGCGGAUCAGAAAGUUGGGGGUGAAAUCCCGGGGCUCAACCCCGGAACUGCCUUCAAAACUGCUGGUCUUGAGUUCGAGAGAGGUGAGUGGAAUUCCGAGUGUAGAGGUGAAAUUCGUAGAUAUUCGGAGGAACACCAGUGGCGAAGGCGGCUCACUGGCUCGAUACUGACGCUGAGGUGCGAAAGUGUGGGGAGCAAACAGGAUUAGAUACCCUGGUAGUCCACACCGUAAACGAUGAAUGCCAGUCGUCGGGCAGCAUGCUGUUCGGUGACACACCUAACGGAUUAAGCAUUCCGCCUGGGGAGUACGGCCGCAAGGUUAAAACUCAAAGGAAUUGACGGGG